CAUGCAAGUCGAGCGAGAAAGGGGCCUCGGCCCCUGAGUACAGCGGCGAACGGGUGAGCAACACGUGGGUGAUCUGUCCCUAAGGCAGGAAUAACUUAGCGAAAGCUGAGCUAAUGCCCGAUACGGCCACGGGAGAUGUUUCCGGGGUUAAAGAGGGCUUUGUUGAGAAGCUCUUCUUUGGGGAGGAGCCCGCGACCUAUCAGCUGGUUGGUAGGGUAAUGGCCUACCAAGGCAAAGACGGGUAGCUGAUCUGAGAGGAUGAUCAGCCACACGGGGACUGAGACACGGCCCCGACUCCUACGGGAGGCAGCAGUGGGGAAUAUUGGGCAAUGGGGGAAACCCUGACCCAGCGACGCCGCGUGGGUGAUGAAGGCCUUCGGGUCGUAAAGCCCUGUCGGGAGGAAAGAAAACCCUGGCGGUGCAGAACCGCCGGGCUUGACGGUACCGGGUGAGGAAGCCCCGGCUAACUCUGUGCCAGCAGCCGCGGUAAUACAGAGGGGGCAAGCGUUGUUCGGAAUUACUGGGCGUAAAGGGCGCGUAGGCGGCCUGUUAAGUCGAACGUGAAAUCCCCGGGCUCAACCCGGGAACUGCGUCCGAUACUGGCAGGCUUGAAUUCGGGAGAGGGAUGUGGAAUUCCAGGUGUAGCGGCGAAAUGCGUAGAUAUCUGGAGGAACACCGGUGGCGAAGGCGGCAUCCUGNACCGACAUUGACGCUGA
rnacentral:rRNA from 1 species